AUUGAACGCUGGCGGCAGGCUUAACACAUGCAAGUCGAGCGGAGAUGAGGUGCUUGCACCUUAUCUUAGCGGCGGACGGGUGAGUAAUGCUUAGGAAUCUGCCUAUUAGUGGGGGACCACAUUCCGAAAGGAAUGCUAAUACCGCAUACGUCCUACGGGAGAAAGCAGGGGAUCUUCGGGCCUUGCGCUAAUAGAUGAGCCUAAGUCGGAUUAGCUAGUUGGUGGGGUAAAGGCCUACCAAGGCGACGAUCUGUAGCGGGUCUGAGAGGAUGAUCCGCCACACUGGGACUGAGACACGGCCCAGACUCCUACGGGAGGCAGCAGUGGGGAAUAUUGGACAAUGGGGGGAACCCUGAUCCAGCCAUGCCGCGUGUGUGAAGAAGGCCUUAUGGUUGUAAAGCACUUUAAGCGAGGAGGAGGCUACUGAGACUAAUACUCUUGGAUAGUGGACGUUACUCGCAGAAUAAGCACCGGCUAACUCUGUGCCAGCCGCCGCCGUAAUAC
rnacentral:rRNA from 1 species